rnacentral:rRNA from 1 species
UACGUGAGGGGCGAACGUUGUUCGGUGUCACUGGGCUUAAAGGGUGCGUAGGUGGUUGUGUAAGUAACGUGUGAAAUCCCUCGGCUUACCCGGGGAAUUGCAUGUUAUACUGCAUGACUUGAGGACUAAAGGGGAAAAGGGAACUCCAGGUGUAGCGGUGAAAUGCGCAGAUAUCUGGGGGAAGGCCGGCGGCGAAGGCGCUUUUCUGGUUAGUACCUGACACUGAGGCACGAAAGCGUGGGGAGCGAACGAGG